AUUGAACGCUGGCGGCAUGCCUUACACAUGCAAGUCGAACGGUAACAGGUCUUCGGAUGCUGACGAGUGGCGAACGGGUGAGUAAUACGUCGGAACGUGCCUAGUAGUGGGGGAUAACUACUCGAAAGAGUAGCUAAUACCGCAUGAGAUCUACGGAUGAAAGCAGGGGAUCGCAAGACCUUGUGCUACUAGAGCGGCCGAUGGCAGAUUAGGUAGUUGGUGGGAUAAAAGCUUACCAAGCCGACGAUCUGUAGCUGGUCUGAGAGGACGAUCAGCCACACUGGGACUGAGACACGGCCCAGACUCCUACGGGAGGCAGCAGUGGGGAAUUCUGGACAAUGGGCGAAAGCCUGAUCCAGCAAUGCCGCGUGCAGGAUGAAGGCCUUCGGGUUGUAAACUGCUUUUGUACGGAACGAAAAGCCCUGGGUUAAUACCCUGGGGUCAUGACGGUACCGUAAGAAUAAGCACCGGCUAACUACGUGCCAGCCGCCGCCGUAAGAC
rnacentral:rRNA from 1 species